rnacentral:rRNA from 1 species
GACGAACGCUGGCGGCGUGCUUAACACAUGCAAGUCGAACGGUAAGGCCCUUCGGGGUACACGAGUGGCGAACGGGUGAGUAACACGUGGGUGAUCUGCCCUGCACUUCGGGAUAAGCCUGGGAAACUGGGUCUAAUACCGGAUAGGACUCCGGACUGCAUGGUCUGGGGUGGAAAGCUUUUGCGGUGUGGGAUGGGCCCGCGGCCUAUCAGCUUGUUGGUGGGGUGAUGGCCUACCAAGGCGACGACGGGUAGCCGGCCUGAGAGGGUGACCGGCCACACUGGGACUGAGAUACGGCCCAGACUCCUACGGGAGGCAGCAGUGGGGAAUAUUGCACAAUGGGCGCAAGCCUGAUGCAGCGACGCCGCGUGAGGGAUGACGGCCUUCGGGUUGUAAACCUCUUUCAGCACAGACGAAGCGCAAGUGACGGUAUGUGCAGAAGAAGGACCGGCCAACUACGUGCCAGCCGCCGCAGUAA